rnacentral:rRNA from 1 species
UACAGAGGUCUCAAGCGUUGUUCGGAUUCAUUGGGCGUAAAGGGUGCGUAGGUGGCGAUGUAAGUCGGGUGUGAAAUCUCCAAGCUUAACUUGGAAACUGCACUCGAUACUGCGUCGCUCGAGGACUGUAGAGGGCAUUGGAAUUCACGGUGUAGCAGUGAAAUGCGUAGAUAUCGUGAGGAAGACCAGUGGCGAAGGCGAAUGCCUGGGCAGUUCCUGACACUGAGGCACGAAGGCCAGGGGAGCAAACGGG